rnacentral:tRNA from 1 species
AUCUUUUUAGUACAACCAGUACAAGUGACUUCCAAUCACUAAAUCUUGGUAAAAAUCCAAGAAAAGAUA